UGACGUGUUUCCGUUUCCACCGCUGCUCUCUCUUUUGGCCUUCGAGGAUCACACGCUGGGCUGGUGUUAGACUCCAUCUAGGGUUCUGGAAGGCUGCCGUCGUCAUGGCGAUGUUUGAGCAAAUGAGAGCGAACGUGGGCAAGUUGCUCAAGGGUAUCGACAGGUACAAUCCUGAGAACCUGGCCACCCUGGAGCGCUAUGUAGAGACACAGGCCAAGGAGAAUGCCUAUGAUCUGGAGGCCAACCUAGCUGUCCUAAAGUUGUACCAGUUCAACCCAGCCUUCUUUCAGACCACAGUCACUGCCCAGAUCCUGCUGAAGGCUCUCACCAACUUGCCUCACACUGACUUCACUCUGUGCAAAUGUAUGAUUGACCAGGCACAUCAAGAAGAACGUCCCAUACGACAGAUUUUGUACCUCGGAGAUCUGCUGGAGACCUGCCACUUCCAGGCCUUCUGGCAAGCCCUGGAUGAAAACAUGGACCUCCUAGAGGGCAUUACCGGCUUCGAGGAUUCUGUUCGGAAAUUUAUCUGCCAUGUGGUGGGCAUCACGUAUCAGCACAUCGACCGCUGGCUGCUGGCUGAGAUGCUUGGAGAUCUUGCCGAGCCAUUGGUAUUGGGGAUCAGGCAGCCAACACUCCCCACACACCACCACCUGUCCUGCCCACAGACAACCAGCUGAAGGUAUGGAUGAGCAAAUACGGCUGGAGCGCUGACGAGUCCGGGCAGAUCUUCAUCUGCAGCCAGGAAGAGAGCAUUAAACCCAAGAACAUCGUGGAGAAAAUAGACUUUGACAGUGUGUCCAGCAUCAUGGCCUCCUCCCAGUGAAAGUAUGCUCUUAAUAAAGAUUAUCCACUCCA